UACGUAGGGUGCGAGCGUUAAUCGGAAUUACUGGGCGUAAAGCGUGCGCAGGCGGUCUGUUAAGACCGAUGUGAAAUCCCCGGGCUUAACCCUGGGAACUGCAUUGGUGACUGGCAGGCUUUGAGUGUGGCAGAGGGGGGGUAGAAUUCCACGUGUAGCAGUGAAAUGCGUAGAGAUGUGGAGGAAUACCGAUGGCGAAGGCAAUCCCCUGGGCCUGCACUGACGCUCAUGCACGAAAGCGUGGGGAGCAAACAG
rnacentral:rRNA from 1 species